GACGAACGCUGGCGGCGUGCUUAACACAUGCAAGUCGAACGGAAAGGCCCUGCUUUUGUGGGGUGCUCGAGUGGCGAACGGGUAAGUAACACGUGAGUUACCUGCCCUUGCCUUUGGGAUAACUUCAGGAAACUGGGGCUACUACCGGAUAGGAGCUCCUGCUGCAUGGUGGGGGUUGGAAUGUUUCGGCGGUUGGGGAUGGACUCGCGGCUUAUCAGCUUGUUGGUGGGGUAGUGGCUUACCAAGGCUUUGACGGGUAGCCGGCCUGAGAGGGUGACCGGCCACAUUGGGACUGAGAUACGGCCCAGACUCCUACGGGAGGCAGCAGUGGGGAAUAUUGCACAAUGGGCGGAAGCCUGAGGCAGCAACGCCGCGUGCGGGAUGACGGCCUUCGGGUUGUAAACCGCUUUCGCCUGUGACGAAGCGUGAGUGACGGUAAUGGGUAAAGAAGCACCGGCUAACUACGUG
rnacentral:rRNA from 1 species